rnacentral:lncRNA from 13 species
UGGUUCUAGCAGUCCUCUGUCUUUUCCAAGUCAGGGAAGCUGGAGGAUGGGAUGCAGGUGCUGUUGAGACAUUCCCUGGAGAGGUGUCAGUGCAGCAGAGGGCUUUGUAAACAUAGAGCCCUUGGCAGGGGCCAUUGUCUCUUCCCCCAGUUCAGUUCAGCAAAUACUUACUAAUGACAGUAUGCAGCAGACACAGUGCUUGGUGCUGGAGCAUCACAGAUUAGUGAGUCACAGCCCCUGCUUUGACGAGCUCUCCGGGUUCUGGGAAAGAACCAUUUACAACACGAAGUAGAUGAAAGGCAGGGUGCUAUUUCCCCAGAGUGCACUGGGGAAGGAAGUGACGCAAUGCAUGCUGCCGGGACAUCUGAGGUGCAGGCUCUGUGUAUCUGACCAGCACGCUCCCAUGUAUGCAGCAUGAGUGCUCCAAAGAGCAAAAAUCAAAGAGGUGUGGGAGGGAGGAAACCAUGUGAAGGGAACAGCACAUGCCCAUACGCUGACAUGGAAAGGAGCCAGAGGACCUGGAAUACAACCUGCAUUAACUCACUUAGGAGAGCUGCCUGACCUGGUGAGAAGCCAUCCUUUCUCGAAUGGGGGCUCCCACUGUACAUCUGGCACCCACUUCACAGGCUGGGCGUAUUUAUUUUCUUUUGUCCUCAAAAUUAUUUUGGAAUUAUGACUUGCCGUUAAUAUUUAAAAAGUUAUCGAAUAGAAGAGGAAAGCAUUCUGAAGGAGGAAAAAUGAAGGAAAGAAAAUUAAGGAAAAGAGGAAAAUAAGCAAAAACCUCAGCAAAGAUGUCAUUGCAUAAUAGUCCAUUAUGCCUCCAAUUGAGCCGUCAUGAACUAUCAAAGAAAUAAUUGCACAAUAAGCCCAUAAUGGCUUAAUCAUGUCAACAUCUUUGCAUUUACAUAUUUUUUUAAUCAAUGGGAAUUAAGUACAUAAAUGGGUCUUUUGGUUUCCAUCCUGAUUUUACCUUUG